rnacentral:rRNA from 1 species
AUUGAACGCUGGCGGCAUGCCUUACACAUGCAAGUCGAACGGCAGCAUAGGAGCUUGCUCCUGAUGGCGAGUGGCGAACGGGUGAGUAAUAUAUCGGAACGUGCCCUAGAGUGGGGGAUAACUAGUCGAAAGACUAGCUAAUACCGCAUACGAUCUACGGAUGGAAGUGGGGGAUCGCAAGACCUCAUGCUCCUGGAGCGGCCGAUAUCUGAUUAGCUAGUUGGUGGGGUAAAAGCCUACCAAGGCGACGAUCAGUAGCUGGUCUGAGAGGACGACCAGCCAAACUGGGACUGAGACACGGCCCAGACGCCUACGGGAGGCAGCAGUGGGGAAUUUUGGACAAUGGGGGCAACCCUGAUCCAGCAAUGCCGCGUGAGUGAAGAAGGCCUUCGGGUUGUAAAGCUCUUUUGUCAGGGAAGAAACGGUAGUAGCUAAUAUCUACUACUAAUGACGGUACCUGAAGAAUAAGCACCGGCUAACUACGUGCCAGCCGCCGCGGUAA